CGUUAAAUGACGUGAGGUAUAAUGCAGGCAGCUCAGCAAAUAUCCACGUUGUGUGUCCGAGUCCCGACGUCGUGGAUCUUGAAUCACACACUCGGGCUACACUAAAGAGUAAACCUGCCUAUGUAGGUCAUCACAACAAAAGGUUUGGGGUUAAUGAGGGUCAGGGUAAGGUUACCUAACUUAACCCAAAACCUAACCCUCCCCUGACCCUGAGUCAGGGGUGGUAACACGUGGGGGGGCCGUGGUGGGCCAGGCGAGGGUUAGGGUUGAGUUGGUUCAGGGGUAGGGUACGGUAAGGCUGUUCACCUGGUCUCCACAGCGUAUGGUCUGGUGGGCGGGAGGCAGGUGUCCGCUGCAGGACAUCAGCGUGGUGACGGUGGACCCAGGGGACACUGGACGCUCUUCGUCCCAAUCCAUCCUGGACGUCACAGAGCUCAAAGUUCAGCUGCUGCGCUCACACUCUCGUUACCUAAGGAACCUAGACCCCGACCUCUGCCGCCCAAUCUGAACCUCAUUGCCAGCAGCCCCCCACACCCGCACAAGAAACCCACCGGACGUCAUGCUCUUCAUAGUUGAUAUUGUUCAGAUAAAUUACGUAUGUUUGUACUCAUAUCAAUAUACUUAUGUUAUUCUACAUGAACAGAGAAAUAUGGAAGAAUCUCAAACAAUGAUUUCAAUAAAAAGUUUUAAUUAAGACAG
ensembl:lncRNA